AUCCACUGACGAGUCCCAAAUAGAACGAAAUGCGCAUCCUGGAU
rnacentral:hammerhead_ribozyme from 1 species